ACCGAUUAGCUCUCGCAAGGCCUCCACAUGUGUGAGGAGGAGAGUUUCUGAUGUUCCUCAGCCUUGUCCAACCCGACAAUCUCGUCAAUUGACUGAGUCAAUGAUUCGCUCUAUCUGGGUUGAUAGGCCGGAUGCCGUGGAUGAGGAGGAGGAUGUUCUUAUUGUGGAUCCUGCUCCUUCUUCUUCUACUAACCCACGUCAGGAUCUUUCAGCCAUCAACAUGAUGAUUCCAGAUCUUUAGGAGGAUUUAAGACACCAUCCUUCGAUCUAUCUCUAUGCCAAUAAGGUAGCAUAAGUUGUUCUGUAUUUUUCUUUUUCCCCUUUCGAGACAAUGGUUUCAUCUUGAUUUUUCCAUUUGAUGCAUGUUCCCGACUUUACUCAACCCAGGGGGAACUGGUUUAGCAUUCACUCCUUAUACCAGACCCUCCAUCCAGACUACCGGGAGAUCGUCCAUUCAUAGGGCUUUCAGGGUUUCUUUUGUAUUCCUUCCCAUCGCUACUGUAAUACCC
rnacentral:lncRNA from 1 species